rnacentral:rRNA from 1 species
AUUGAACGCUGGCGGCAGGCCUAACACAUGCAAGUCGAGCGAGCGGCGGACGGGUGAGUAAUGUCUGGGAACCUGCCUGAUGGAGGGGGAUAACUACUGGAAACGGUAGCUAAUACCGCAUACCAUCGGAUGUGCCCAGAUGGGAUUAGCUAGUAGGUGGGGUAACGGCUCACCUGGGCGACGAUCCCUAGCUGGUCUGAGAGGAUGACCGGCCACAAGGGAACUGGGACACGGUCCAGAGGCCGACGGGAGGCAGCAGUGGGGAAUAUGGCACAGUGGGCGAAAGCAUGAUGCAGCCAUGCCGCGUGUAUGAAGAAGGCCUUCGGGUUGUAAAGUACUUUCAGCGAGGAGGCGUUACUCGCAGAAGAAGCACCGGCUAACUCCGUGCCAGCAGCCGCGGUAAUAC